rnacentral:rRNA from 1 species
AGCAGUCGCGGUAAUUCCAGCUCCAAUAGCGUAUAUUAAAGUUGUUGCAGUUAAAAAGCUCGUAGUUGAAUUUCGGGAUCAGUGCGCUGGUCGUGCCUUCGGUAUGUACUGGUGUUACUGGUUCCUACCUUCUGACGAACCGUCAUGUCAUUAAUUUGGUGUGGCGGGGAAUCAGGACUGUUACUUUGAAAAAAUUAGAGUGUCUAAAGCAGGCUCGCGCUUGAAUACAUUAGCAUGGAAUAAUGAAAUAGGACGUUCGAUCCUAUUUUGUUGGUUUCUAGGAUUGACGUAGUGAUUAAUAGGGAUAGUUGGGGGCAUUAGUAUUCAAUUGUCAGAGGUGAAAUUCUUGGAUUUAU